AGAAAUAAUCAAUACUUGGUGGAAUAAUCCUGGUUUUUAAUCACAGUUUUUUUUCAUGCAUCUUGGCAUCAUGUUCUCCUCCACCAGUCUUACACACUGCUUUUGGAUAACUUUAUGCUGCUUUACUCCUGGUGCAAAAAUUCAAGCAGUUCAGUUUGGUGGUUUGAUGGUUUGUGAUCAUCCAUCUUCCUCUUGAUUAUAUUCCAGAGGUUUUCAAUUUGGGCAAAUCAAUUUUAAGUGGUCUCUUAUUUUUUCCAGAGCUGUAUAUGGAAAGAUAUGUCUCCAAUUCAUGGAAAUACGACUGUGAUCUUUAUGUCAAGCAGAGGGAAAAUGGACAACAGCAGUGAGUGAGGUGUUCAGUAGCAGGGAAAAAGCAGGGUAACACCCCUAAAUAAAUAUUUUGGCUGAUGUCUCUGUUCAUAUUAAAUUAGAAGGCCCAUUUCUGAACUGGUCAGGUGUAUUAAAUAAAAGGCCAGCUAAAAAACAUAUUCUCUGUAUACUGUAUACUGAACUGGAACGUGUUCUCACUGAAAGUGAUAAUCCCAGCUGUAGAUACUGGAACUGCUUGAUAGCUCCAGUAAUGCUGGAAAAGAUGAAACCGAAACUUCAUGUGAAGCUCUGCUCUUUAGUGUCAGUUGAGGAGAAACUGAGGAAAAUGAACCAAAGAAAAUCAAAUUUGGGUCACUUUUACCUGCUGUAUGAACAUAGCCUUAGUUUAUUCUACAAAAAAACAUACCCAUAUCUGUGCUUCUUUUAUUACUAAUUUUAUUUUUUUUUUGUUUUUUUUUUUCCAUCAUAAGCCAAAGCAUGGGUUAGAUUACUUUUCUUUCUUUUGUACACACCUGAAUAUAAGAUUACCUGUUGGAGUCACUUCUGAAAAUAAGGUUUUCAUCCUCACUGAUCUAAAAACUGCUGGGAUUAAAUGACAUUAAAGAUUAAAGAUAAAGAUGGUGGUGUUGAAGAAGUGGUGGAGUGAUGAGAUCCCUUUACUAAUGCUGCUGCAGAACCCCUGUGUGAAGCUUAUGUACAGACCUAAACCAGUAAAUAUUCCCUGAAAAUUGUUUUAUAUGUUUAUAUGAAAUACAAUUCAUAAUAAAAAGGGAGAGUAAUGUCUGGA